AUGCGUCGCUUUUCAGCUGCUUCAUCAUCAAGACAGGAAACCGACAAAUUGCUGUUUAAACAUCUAGCAGAUGGAGAGGCCCAAGUACUGGUACAAUCUCAACUAUCCAUCACCAGGGCAGAAAAUAAAACUGCACGAAUUGACUGUCAUGUUUCUGGCAUUACCCUUGGUAGUGCUUAUAUACAUUGGUAUCGACAGAGACCUGAUGCAGCUCUGGAACGGAUUCUCUAUUUUUUAUCAGGAAAACCGAACUUUGACCGGGAUUCUGAGAAGGCAAAGUUUGAGGCAGAGAAGCAGCUCUCCGAGUCGAUCUGUGUCCUGACGGUAAAAAAAAUAAGCAAGAAUGAUGCGGCUACCUAUUACUGUGCUGCUUGGGAUCACACAGUAUUACAAAAACGUUCACAUUCUGUACAAAAACCUACUUUGUAUUCUAAGCAACAGCCUUUCUAA